AUAAGCGGAGGAAAAGAAACUAACAAGGAUUCCCCUAGUAACUGCGAGUGAAGCGGGAAAAGCUCAAAUUUAAAAUCUGGCAGUCUUAUAGCUGUCCGAGUUGUAAUCUAGAGAAGUGCUUUCCGUGUUGGACCGUGUACAAGUCUCUUGGAACAGAGCGUCAUAGAGGGUGAGAAUCCCGUCUUUGACACGGACUACCAGUGCUUAUGUGAUGCGCUCUCAAAGAGUCGAGUUGUUUGGGAAUGCAGCUCAAAAUGGGUGGUAAAUUCCAUCUAAAGCUAAAUAUUGGCGAGAGACCGAUAGCGAACAAGUACCGUGAGGGAAAGAUGAAAAGAACUUUGGAAAGAGAGUUAAACAGUACGUGAAAUUGUUGAAAGGGAAACGCUUGAAGUCAGUCACGUUGGUCAGAAAUCAACCCUCCUGGGUGUACUUUCUGGCUUUACGGGUCAGCAUCAAUUUUGAUUGUUGGAUAAAAGUCAAUAUUUAUGCAUUUUCGGAUGUAUAGCCUUUGGUUGCAUACAACAGUUGGGAUUGAGGAACUCAGCAUGCCGCAAGGCCGGAUCACUUUGAUCACGUACAUGCUUAGGAUGCUGGCAUAAUGGCUUUAAUCGACCCGUCUUGAAACACGGACCAAGGAGUCUAACAUGCCYGCGAGUGUUUGGGUGGUAAACCCGAGCGCGUAAUGAAAGUGAAAGUUGAGAUCUUCGUCAU
rnacentral:rRNA from 1 species